CGUAGGGCGCAAGCGUUAUCCGGAAUUAUUGGGCGUAAAGAGCUCGUAGGCGGUUUGUCGCGUCUGCCGUGAAAGUCCGGGGCUCAACUCCGGAUCUGCGGUGGGUACGGGCAGACUAGAGUGAUGUAGGGGAGACUGGAAUUCCUGGUGUAGCGGUGAAAUGCGCAGAUAUCAGGAGGAACACCGAUGGCGAAGGCAGGUCUCUGGGCAUUAACUGACGCUGAGGAGCGAAAGCAUGGGGAGCGAACAGG
rnacentral:rRNA from 2 species